UCAAUUUUUUGAGGCAACUGGGUUGAAAAAUAAUUUGCUCAUGCCAAAGCUUGUCCAACCUUCAGUGUAAUAGUGUAAUUUUAUUCUACUCGCUGGACUUUGAGUGUUGCUCGCUUUUGCGCUGAAGCAAAACUAUCUAUAUUUAUAUGGAUAAUUGAACAUUGGAUCUCAAAUCAGGCAAGGUUACCCGCUGAACUUAA
rnacentral:misc_RNA from 1 species